CCUACGGGUGGCAGCAGUGGGGAAUAUUGGUCAAUGGGCGCAAGCCUGACCCAGCAACGCCGCGUGAAGGAUGACGGCUCUACGGGUUUUAACCUUCUUUUAGAGGGAAGAGCAGUGGACGGUACCUCUUGAUUAAGCUCCGGCUAACUACGUGCCAGCAGCCGCGGUAAUACGUAGGGAGCGAGCGUUGUCCGGAUUUACUGGGUGUAAAGGGCGUGCUGCCGGGAGUACAAGUCAGAUGUGAAAUCCCGCGGCUCAACCGCGGAACUGCAUUUGAAACUGUAUUUCUUGAGUACUGGAGAGGCAGGCGGAAGUCGUAGUGUAGCGGUGAAAUGCGUAGAUAUUAGGAGGAACACCAGUGGCGAAGGCGGUCUACUGGACAGCAACUGACGGUGAGGCGCGAAAGCGUGGGGAGCAAACAGGAUUAGAUACCCUAGUAGUC
rnacentral:rRNA from 1 species